rnacentral:rRNA from 1 species
UACGUAGGGGGCUAGCGUUGUCCGGAAUCAUUGGGCGUAAAGCGCGUGUAGGCGGUUCGGUAAGUCCGCUGUGAAAGUCGGGGGCUCAACCCUCGGAUGCCGGUGGAUACUGUCGGACUAGAGUACGGAAGAGGCGAGUGGAAUUCCUGGUGUAGCGGUGGAAUGCGCAGAUAUCAGGAGGAACACCAAUAGCGAAGGCAGCUCGCUGGGACGGUACUGACGCUAAGGCGCGAAAGCCAGGGGAGCAAACGGG